GUGCGUAUUGUUAUGCGUUUACUUUUCUACCUUGGCUAGAGGUAUAGGAGGAGGGUUGAGAGAUCUCAUAAACAUGUUUACCCCGCUGCAAUUUUGCGCCUGCACAAGUCAGACGCCUCUGGCCUUUAUUAGUCUUGUAUGAUUUUUAAUUUUAGUUUCCUGUGUAUAAUUCGGAGUUUAGUAUGGAGUUUAGUAUGACGUCCAUUAAUUCAGUGUGCCAGUAUGAAUAUAUUUUUAAGGGGUCAGCUGAAGGACGCAUACGGGUGCGAGAGUUUCUCGCUACAUUGAAGACCAAUUUGUGACCUUCUGCUGUUGUCUGC
rnacentral:lncRNA from 1 species